CCUACGGGAGGCAGCAGUGAGGAAUCUUCCUCAAUGGGCGCAAGCCUGAACCAGCCACGCCGCGUGAAGGAUGACUGCCCUAGGAGUUGUAAACUUCUUUUAUAAAGGAGUAAGGUCGGGCGAGUGUGUCUUCUUGUAUCUACUUUAUGUAUACGGAUCGGCUAACUCCGUGCCAGCCGCCGCGGUAAUACGGAGGAUCCGAGCGUUAUCCGGAUUUAUUGGGUUUAAAGGGAGCGUAGCGGGGUUGUUAAGUUAGAUGUGAAAGUGUGCGGCUCAACCGUAGAAUUGCAAUUGAUACUGGGAGACUUGAGUACAGUAGAGGGAGGCGGAAGUCGAGGUGUAGCGGUGAAAUGCGUAGAUAUCACGAAGAACACCGAUUGCGAAGGCAGCUUACUAAACUGUAACUGACGUUGAGGCUCGAAAGUGUGGGUAGCAAACAGGAUUAGAUACCCGAGUAGUC
rnacentral:rRNA from 1 species